UUGUGGAUUAUUUUAAAAAGAACUUUGUGUUUCACAUAGGAAAUGAAGAAGUUUCUGCAUGAGGAUCGGUGUACCAGGGGGAUAAAAUUUCCAGAUGCAAUACUUUAGUAACAGUCUUGUUCUCAAAUGUCACCAAUACCCAGAGUCUUAUCACGCUGUCCUCCCACUGGCUUCUGAGUGUCACUGGGAAUUGUGUAUGCUUUUGUUGUUUCUUUUUUCGUUAUACAAUUCCCUUUUCUUAAAAACUCUACUGAGAUUUCAGCUUACAUUCCAGUUAGCAUUUUUCUCUUUAUUUUCUCUUCUGCUCUCACAGUGGUUCUUGAUCAGGAUUUCCACCACUUCAUUCAACCACUUUACCAUUUACUCACUUCUUUGAAUCUGCAUCUUUCACUCUUUUCCUCCACACAGGAGAACAUUUUCUGACGUGCUUUUGAAGUUAGUCUUUCUUCACUAGAAAAUACUCCUUCCAUUCAGUUUGGUCAUCUGUUUAGCUAAAUAAUUAUCUUCUCACCUAGUUUAAAUCUCUGUAGUCCCAUUCAAUUUUCUGGCCAUUGCCUCAGACUUCAAACUCUUCUCUUGCCUUCUGCCUCCCCUCCUCCCUCCAAUCUUCCCUCCCUUUCUCUAUUCCUCCCUCUCUCUCUUGCUUUCCUCCCUCCCCGUAUGGACUGUUGAUAAGUAGCAUGAAUUUCAAUUUCUUCUCAUUUUUCUUUCCUUCCCUGUUUUCCUUCUGAAAUACAAUUAUCCCUCUUUCUUACUGCUGAUCUUACCACUUUCUACAAGUUUCCUCCAAUAUUUCCUCUUCUAUUUUUGAUCUUAAUCUCUGAUCUUUUCUAUAUUAUUCUUCCCCUCACCUUUCUCUCACUUUCUCAUUGCUGUAAACUCUUCCAUUCUCCAUAUAACUUCUCACUACUUUCUGGAUCUAUUACUUCAAAAUAAUAGCAUGGCAGUUCUUGUACUUUUAAAAAAUCCUCACCUCAUUUAUUGCACAAUCCUGUCCCUCCCUUUUACUUCAAGCUUAUUAAACACAGGAUUUUAUACUGCAGUCUGGAUUUCCCACCUAUUUAUACUUUACUUCUUCUUGGCAGUACAAGGGAACAGCUUUUUUUCCGCAAUCUUUAGUUACAUUUUAGCAAAAUCUGAAACUUCUCAAAUACAUCUUCAUCUUCUGUGACCUCUACACUGCCUUUUAUUUUGUUUGAAACGUUUUCUGUCUUUGCUUCGGCGACUGAUCUCACCCAUGUCUUUCUUCCUAUCUGUCUAAUCAUUCAUUUGACUUAUAUUUUACAAGCCUUUCUGUAUCUCUGCUUCCUGUGUGUGUCCGUAAGGUCAUGUCCUCCAUUCUCUUCUUUUAUUUAAACUUUAUCUCUAAAUAACCUUAUUUGUGUAUCUAACAUCUUUGUUCAUCUCUCAUCUUUGUGCCUACCUUUAGAUAUAGGUUUCUGUGCCAGUAGAGAGCUUACCAUCUGUGCAAACUAAAACUUAACAAAAUGAUGGCCUCAGUCAAAAGGCUAAGAGUGCUCCAGUGAGUUUUUUGGUGUACAGAUGCACUCAGUCCGGAAGAAAAAAAAUCCAUCAACAUGCAAACAUGUUUUCACUUGGGUAAAAACAAUAGCAAAUAACAGAGCAUUUAUUACAUAAGUUUCUUAGUUUAUGUAGGUCUUCAAGUACUGAUAUUCUGGUAAGGAGCUUAAUUUACAACUGGCACUGCACUGUAUGUUGUCAAAAGAAUGAAAAGAAGGCAAGUUUACCACAGGAGUUGUUAGUUGUCAUGGUGUGAUACUCUCGAUGGACUAUUUUCAAAAACUGAUUAAAUUCUCACAUGAAUAUGUGAGAAGGCAAGCUCUCCUCAGCUCUUAUUCAGAGAUAUUCACAGAAUUCAGUGAGUAGGAUUAGUUGGUUGUGAGACCAUAUACAGAGGGAUGGCUGUUCAACUUUUACAGAUAUUCUGAUAGCUUCUUCAAGAGUAUAACUAUAUGAAAUAAAUGGGGGAUUAACCUGAUAACCAAUUUUACCUUCUGAAGAAAUCUGCUUUUUAUUUAGAACAGUGGAUAUUGAUGGCUUCCAUUAAAAUCAGAGACACCAUACAAACACUCCAUACAAAUGGAGCCUUUCUUUGGUUUAUCGAAUUAAGAACCAUGAAUCAUGGAGUUUCAAUCAACAAUUCACAAGUCAGGAAGUAUAAGCAUCACAGCCCUGUCAUAUAUUUUAUUUAGUAGUGAAAGGAGAUAGCACUUUUAGGUUACAUAUUCAUGAUUUUUAUCACUGUUAAUUUCUUAGUACUCUCAGAUACACUAAUUAUCAGAGCUCUUUUGCUCAAUUUAUGUGUGAUACCUGGUAUUUCAGUGUCCAGAGUUAAGCUGGAUGCUUCAGAGAAGGCUCUGAAACAUAUAUCUCAUCUACAAAAAACUGACAGCACAGAGCAGAUGGAAGGCAAAUAUAUACAGUAACAGAGUGACACAGUAAGUUAGCUUUGGCAUGUGAAUAUGUUUGCUGGUUCGUGAAUUUUCUUCCUCUUUUUCUCUGCUGAUAAAAAAAGAUGAAACUGUGAUAGUAAUGGAAAAAGAAACUUGUUUUCUUAGCAAGUCCACAGUGUUUAGAUAGGUAAUAAUUUAUCUCUGAAGAUUUUGGAACAACGUUCAUUUUCUGAAAAUGACACACUAAAUACAACUUUUAAUGUCCAAUUUUUCCCCCUUAAGUUCAGAAUAAUUACUGAUGAUGGUUUAGGUGAGAGUCCAGGACUGCUGAGAGAAAUUAGCAAGCUUUUAGUAGGCAUAGUGCUGUGUAAAUUCAUUUAGCUAUUACUAACUAAGGAAGGUUUUGACAUAAAUGUUUAAAUCAAACCCCACAAAGUUUAAUCAGGAAGCAGUGGAAACCAAAACCACUCAACUUAAGAACUGCUAGCUCAAGAACUAAAACAAUACCUGCAAUUUUUUUUUUUUAAGUGUGUGCCCAUGAAGUGCAAUUAAUAGUGUUAGCUUCAGAUUUAAUACUGGUAAGGUCAGAGGAAAAGAAAACCCAAAAACCUGAGGAUUAAAACAGACUAGAAUAGAGUCUAAACCAUGAAGAAUGACAAACAUAAUAGAGGCAAACCUUAAUAGAGGUUCCAUAAAAAGAUUGGGCUCAACAAACACCAGCUGUUCAGAAUAAAAUGCUAAUAUUAGUUUAACUACUUUAACAUCAGGUCCCUGCUAAUGAUGUCCUCAGCUUGUACUGAAAUCACGAAGAAUCAAAGACUAUUCAAAAUGAAUUCUAAUGUGAAGACAUUUAUUUCUUAGUGCCUUUUGUCAGGAAAGAAAUAACAUGGAUAUAAAAUCUUAAAUACAAAUGUGUAUCAUCUGUAUUAGUAAAUUCUAUUGCAGCUUUACUGUGGCAUUAUUUUUGGCCCCAAACAUUUAUUCUGUUGCCCCAAAAUUGCAAGUGUUGAACUAUCUUCUGAAAGAAUGUACUGUCAGAGUGGUCAUCAAGUACUGUUAACUUCUUCCUACAGGAGAUAUUUAAAUAUUUAUGAUUGCUUUUACUGGAAACUCAUGCUUAAAAGCUAGAUAUGUCUUACUGUAACCUGGUUUAUAUUUCUACUGAAACUCUGCUUUUGAGAAUUGUUCCCAUGUGGCAGCUUUAGAACAUGGAUGACAAGCUUGUAAUGGAGUCUUACUUUGUGCGUGCCUGUAAUGAAAGCUGAUCAAGGGAACUGCAAAGAAGGAUAUUUGUUUCGCUUUUGCCAUCAGUGUGUAUACAUUAUGUGCUUAUGAAUGUAUUUCUGAACACUUAGGUGAUGAUCUCAAACAAGCAGAUACUGAAGCCCACGGUCAGAUGGUGCCUAGUCCCUUCCUUUAUAAAGUUUUUUUUUCUCAGUGAUCUCUGACAGCUGCUGGAAAAGGGCUGCAGUCUGUAUAGAGGACAAAUCUGGAGGGAGAACAUGAAACCCCUGGGGCAUUUCCAAAGGCGGAACACAAGCUGAGUUUUAAGAAAAAUCCUAAUGCAGAAAACAAUCCACACUUCAGUGAAGUGGAGAUCAGACAGAUAUUUAAGCACACCUGAAGCCUUUGGCAGGAAUAUAUGGAAUGCUCUGUAUCAUUGGCUGCCUGACAUCCUUCCUAUCCCUGCAAGAGGAGAAACAUGGAGAGCUGCAGCCUGGGGAAGCCCACGUGCAAUCACCUGGGGAAGGACAGCAUCCCAUGGGAGGGAUCCCAUGCAGAGCAGGGGCAGAGAGUGGCCAUGGAGGAGCAGCAAUGGAGGAGCAGCAAUGGAGGAGCAGCAAUGGAGGAGCAGCAGAGUUUAAGAUUUAUGGGCUGACUGCAGCCCCACAUUCUCCAUUUACCUGCACCAAAGUGGGAGAAUGAGUGAAAGUCAGUGAACUAUGACCGUGGAAUUCAUAUGGUGAAAAGCAAGAAAACAACAGUUCAGUACAUCUUUCCAGGAGAAAGAAGACCUGGUCAGAAGAUUUGUUAUUGACUUGUUCUGUGAUCACAGUUCCAUGGUCUUUUUCAGACAAACAUGUAAAACAAGUAUCUUUGUAGGUUAGGGUUAAAACUAAAUCUGUAGCAUAUCUGCAAAUGUACUUCCACAGUAAACCUGCAGAAUUUAUUUAACACAGCUCACAGGAGAAGAACAAGCUGAAUUCACAAUGUCUCAAAAGCUUAGCUUAGGGAGAUGAAUAGACAGUGCUAAGACUCAAAGAAGGUAUUUUAUCAUACACUUCAAAGCCUGAAGUCUGAGACAGCUUCACUCUCAAAUCACUCUCAGCUCUUGCUGUCAUGUCAGAAUAGGAUGACUUAGAGUAUACUGUGAAAAAUGUUCCCCUUCACUACCAUUUUCAUUCCACUGCACUGAGAAAUACUGUGAUUUUAGGUCUGUUAAUAGAAAAUCCUCUUAUAUGAAAUCUCGCUUCAAAAAUUCCUUCAAUAGAAAAAUAAAUGACUGCCACUUAUUUAGUGACCUAAUAUUUAGAGUAAAGGCUACACUGUAACACAUCACAGCCAUCUAAAAAAGAUAUGUACAGAUACUGGAUUUCAGCAGACCACCAUUUCCUGCAGUUAUUUAUUAAUAUUAAUUUUGAACAGAAGUGAGCUUUGUAAAAGCCUCUUACCAAGGAAGCAGCAGCUGGUUAUAGAGGAAGUAUAACUUUGCUGAUAUGCAUAAGCUGGGCAGACUAAUAGACCAUGUUAUUGAUGAAAGGAAAGCUGGUUCAUGCUGUUGGCUGGCUGCACAGGAGUUCCAUUUCAUUCCUUCCCCCAAGUUCAUGUCAGCUUUUGGCUGGAGAUUGGGACACUGUGUAACAGUUCUUCGAAACCUUACCUUUUGUUUUUGUUCUUUUAUACUGAGCCUCUGAGACAUAAAAACUGUAUGAAUUUUUUUUUUUUCUGAGAUCUCCUAUAUAACAGACUGAAGCCCAGCUGACUCAGAAACACCAAAAUUACCUUUAGCACCAUCUUGACUGUCCUUGAACAAAUCCGUUUAGAAUGUAGGAGUAUUUACCUUCCUGAUCAUAGAGUAGGAAAAGAGCAAAAUGAGACUCUUUGGGCCCUAUCCCUUCCCUCUAGCAAUGCCCGGUUAGUAAUCUCUAGAAAUCAUGACCCUCACUGGCAGGAUGAAGGUUUUUCUGUCCUCCCAGUACUUCUUAAGUUCUUUUCCUUCACUAAGUGAAAAAAACAAAAACAAAAACAAAAAACCUACAGUGGUGGUUAUCAGGAAUUAAGAAGAACAAAUGCAUUAAAAAAAAAGGAAAAAUAUAUUAUUACGAGUGUACUGCAGAGAAGUCUAUUAAAAUCCAGACAAAUAUGGCUACGAUAAAUGUAAAAGUAACUUCGAUGACAAAAAUUCAAGAAAUAUUUUAUGUACAGUACCAUGUGGAAAACUGCUAUGAUAAUUAACAAUCAAAUUCCCAGAAAUGUGUAUACAGUAGAUGUUAUCCUUAAAUAAACAUGAAUCAGUUCAAAAUCUUUCUUUCAAGUAUUUCCUGUACAACUGCACCAAAAACUUGUCUUUUCCUUUCCAUCUCAAAUAAUCAAAGAAAAUUUUGCAAUUUUGAAUUUGUGAUGUAGUCAGUUUGCAAUGGACGAAAUAAUCACGACCAUAAUGUGUGUCUCUGCAGUGAAUUGUGGUAGCACAUUAAAUCAAUUUGAAGCAUGCUACUCUGAAUAAAAUGUGUGAAAAUUCUGUUAAAUCAUGUACAGAUUUUCAGUACAGUUACAAAUUUUUCUUCCUGCAGUAGUGACAAGAAGUGUCUCUUUCAUAGUUCUUGGCAUUCCAAUAGAUGGUUGGAAUGUAAUUUCUAUUAAAAAAUAAUACAUUAUUAAUUUCAGAAUUCUACUCUAAUGCACAUACUUAGGUUUUGCAUACAUUUGGACUCUGGAUUCUGUGCAAUAAAAUAGGACUCCUGUUUUUGCAUCUGGAUUAACAGUAUCCUGUUAUUGAAUUUUUUUGUAUUUGUGCUCUCAUAAUUUUUGUGGUGGAUAAAAUAUUUCCUGCUAUGAUGGUGAUAAGACUCUGGAAAUGUUUUCCUAGAGAAUUUUUUGAUGGCCUAUCUCUGGAGGCGUUCAAGGUCAGAUUGGAUGGAACCUUGGACAGUCUGGUCUAGUAGAAGGUGUUCCUGCUCUGUUUCUAGACCUUAGCAAUAUUUUAACAGUACCCUGCCUUUUUCACUAGUUAUUGCUUCACUCUGAAGAUUCACAUCACUUCUUAGGACUGCCUAAUUCUGCCUUGCAACGGUCCAAAAGGGACAUGGCUAGAUUAGUCUGAGACAUCACUCAUAGAGCAGUAAAUCAAUCACUCAGAAGUUAUAUAGAUUCUAAGAUUUCUGCUGAUGAGCAUAGAAUAUCAUUUCGGCAUUUGUACCUCUUAAUCAUUUCCAAAUUAUCAGCACGUCUAGUUAUUCAUUAGCAUAUUUUGACAACAACAUGAAUUCUGCUUAAUUUGUCCAUAGAAAAAUUACUAAAUGAUUUGACAUUACAGACAAUUACAUUUUUAAUGGAAUGCAGAGAUCCAUUAAGAGCAUUCACUUUUCAGGGAUUUGCUAGGAACGUGAUUUAUAGUUCAAGGAUCCAAAUGUACAUGUACCAAAUGUGGUAACAUGUAAUAACAAGAUAAUUUGCUCUCAAAAGAAUUCAUAAUUUGAAUUUAAAUUGGUGAAUAAAACAGCACAGGAAACAACUAGCAUUAUGUUCAACAUUGCUGAAAACCAAAGAAUUCCUGCAUGGAGGACAGGCAGAAUAAUACUAUCUAGAUAUGUCUAUCACGUAGAUAUAUACAUACACAAUUUGAAUAAGAAUACCUUGAGUCCAAAGACUCUAUGCAUUCUCAUCUUGAUUUUUCUUACCAAAUUUUCUUCUAGUUUUCUUGUCUUUUGGCCUCAAACAACUAGCUAGAAGAGAGUAAACACUAAACUGCUUCCUUUAUAAUUCAGUACUGGCAAUUGAAGGUGGUGAAAAUUUGUUAUAUUCCAUUACUGUAAACAACAACAGUAAGUAUUUUGUAGAAAGCCAAUAAUCAGAUAAUUAGUAAGAAGGCAGUAGAGUUAUUUCACAUUUUCUGAGCUUAAUGUUAUACAUCCCCACUCACAUGACAUGACUUCAUAAAAGUUAAUCAAUCACAAUAACAAGCAUUAGUAAAAGUUAGUUAAUUGUAUAUGUCUACCCACAAUUCUAGCACUGCCUCCUGAACUAUGACAUUGUGGAUCCUCAAGGUUUGUCAGGUACAUGCUGGGAAAAAGCAAUGAUGUUAACAGUUUUUCAAAUUCACGUCAAAAUAGAAUGUUUUCUGGAGUUUGGGGCCAUUCUUGAGACAUUUGUUUGAGAGGAACAUGUAAAAAACAUGCCCAGCUCUAUCAUUGAUGUUCACCUCAAAAAUCAGUAGAUACAUAAACAUAACCACUGGUGUCUGUAGGAGCAACAAGCAUUUUGAAAAAGAGGUUAAUCCCAUUUUAAAAUAGAUUUCUAAUUAAACGAUGGAAUGAGUCACCCAUUUAAAUCUCUUUAUAUCAAUGAAUAAGAGGAUGAGGGAGAUGACUAGUUUAAGAUCAUGAGGUUUACCUGGAAAAAGCACAGCAGUAUUUCACAGUUAAUGUGGAAAAAGCAGAAGUAAUGGAUUGUUUGCAGUUAGCAAGUAAGGCUUUAAACAAACAUAUAUCUUGAAUUUUGGUCAGCUAGUAUUCUAGCUUUUCUCCUUUUGAAGUUCUUUUUCAUUUAUUGCUUUUUGUUUUAAUAUGAAAAAAAAAAAGCUUUCAACGGUAAAAUAGAAAUGAACUGUGCUGAUUUUAUACACAGAGGGGCUCUGUGCAUCAGUGCUGCAUGCACUAAUAAUCUAGGACAGCUCAUGUAUCUGGUAUCAGACACGGACUGGUGGACCAUAUCUAUCACUAAAUGUUGAUUGUUGGAUUUGGCUUUAAUUUCUUUGUAAAACAUUUUUUUUUUUCUUUUUUUUAUUUCUCCCACCACACAGUCUGGCUUCUAGAAAAUUAUCUAAGGAAUACCAAAAUGAAAGAAUACUUACAGUUGGUUCGUCCAUGGUAAAUCUCUUGUUGCAUUAGUAGCUUGUUCAGUGUUGAAGCAUACGAUGCAGCAAAAGGGAGCAGCUCAUUCAUCUCACUUGUUGUGAAUUGUAUUAUUGGCUGCUGAAUUAGGAAGACCUUUUCAACCAUGCUGUACCACCAAGAUUCAUACCAAAUAGAGAUUAUUUGUACAUCAGAGUAUGUCUAUUAAUUUAUUUAAACUUAGAAUGAAUUCUGCAUUUGACCUGUCAUUCUGCAUUUGACACUGUAUGCUAAUAAAAUAAAAUAAAAAAUCA